rnacentral:tRNA from 1 species
GGGAAAGUAGCUCAGUCGGUCAGAGCAGCCGCCUCAUAAGCGGCCGGUCCCGGGUUCGAAUCCCGGCUUUCCCA